AUUGAACGCUGGCGGCAGGCCUAACACAUGCAAGUCGAGCGAGCGGCGGACGGGUGAGUAAUGUCUGGGAAACUGCCUGAUGGAGGGGGAUAACUACUGGAAACGGUAGCUAAUACCGCAUACCCUCAGAUGUGCCCAGAUGGGAUUCGGUAGUAGGUGGGGUAACGGCUCACCUAGGCGACGAUCCCUAGCUGGUCUGAGGGGUUGAACAGCCACACUGGGACUGAGACACGGUGCAGACUCCUCCGGGAGGCAGCAGUGGGGAAGAUUGCACAAUGGGCGCAAGCCUGAUGCAGCCAUGCCGCUUGUGUGAAGAAGGCCUUCGGGUUGUAAAGCACUUGCAGCGGGGAGGCGUUACCCGCAGAAGAAGCACCGGCUAACUCCGUGCCAGCCGCCGCGGUAAUAC
rnacentral:rRNA from 1 species